rnacentral:rRNA from 1 species
GAUGAACGCUAGCGGCAGGCUUAAUACAUGCAAGUCAAGGGGGUAGCAAUACAACCGGCGCACGGGUGAGUAACGCGUACACAACAUACCAUAUACUGGAGUAUAGCUUUGGGAAACUGAAGGUAAUCCUCCAUAACAUUGCGAGAGGGCAUCUGAUUGCAAUUAAAGUUUCGGCGGUAUAUGAUUGGUGUGCGUUUGAUUAGCUAGUUGGUAGGGUAACGGCCUACCAAGGCGACGAUCAAUAGCUGGCGUGAGAGCGCGACCAGCCACACUGGAACUGAGACACGGUCCAGACUCCUACGGGAGGCAGCAGUAGGGAAUAUUGGACAAUGGAGGAAACUCUGAUCCAGCCAUGCCGCGUGAUAGAUGAAGGCCCUCUGGGUUGUAAAUAUCUUUUAUCUGGGAAGAACACUCCUAUUCUUAGGAACUUGACGGUACCAGAGGAAUAAGCACCGGCUAACUCCGUGCCAGCAGCCGACGGUAAAGUA